UCCCACAUGCAUAACCUAGCCUAAACAUUCAACAUAGCAUCAUAUAAACAUACAUGAGCAUCACAUAACAUACAUUGGGCAUAAAACCCACAUAAAUCCUAACAUGCAUAUCUACCCAUACUCUACCAUUAAAACCUUCAUAAAACUUCAAAAGACACUAGGAAAGUAAAGAUCUACACUUACCUCUUGAAGGUCGAGGGUUGCGUGAUCUCUAACUCGGAGGUGUGGAGAAUCCAAGCUCCAAGCUCCCAAAACUUCGAUCUAAGCUUUAAAACUCUUCAAAAUAGCCAUGGAACUCAUGAAAACAUUAAGGAGAUGAAGAAAAACAUGAAAACGGCUAAGGGAGGACAAAAACUCACCUGAGCUCGAGAAUUGGGAGAAAACUCGCCCAUUUUCGAUCUGAGGGCCCUUUAUAGAUGGCCUGGUCAGAGACCUUCGGCAGCCUAACGUGCCCCCUAAACUCAUGCAUGUUCGGCGGCCGAACUUGACUUUCGGCGGCCGAACCUUAGCUCGUUCAAACAAGACUUUCGGAGGCCAAAGGCGCUCCCGAAACCUUUCCAUGUUCGGCGGCCGAACUUCACUUUCGGCGGCCGAACCUGGCAAACGCCUCCUUGGUCUUUUCUUCUUAAAACUCAAUUCUUUUUCAUUUAAAACCAUGAAAUCAGUAAAAACCUUUUAGAAAACACAUUUUACCCCUCUAGAAGCCUCUGGCAUCUUCAGAAAUUCCUGAUUCCAACGGAGAUUCCGCCAGAAGGUAGGGAUUCUGAUGCCGAAAUCUAGCCGGGUAUUACAAAUUCCCUAGUAAUGCCACCAAAAACUUAUUGUGACACCGCAAGCAUACGGGUCACACAAGUAAUAUAAUGAUAGAGUAGAGUCUACAAAAUUCAAAAAUAAAACAAGCAAGUAAAAGAUAAUAAAAGAGAAAAUUAAAAGAAAAAAUGUCCAAUCAACUAAACAAUCAAUCACCUAAUAUCAAACAAAACUAAUUACCUAGCAAUGGUACCAAAAACUUAUUGUGACACCGUAAGCAUACGGAUCGCACAAGUAAUAUAAUGAUAGAGUAGAGUAUUAUUUCCACGGAGAAUUAGUAUUUAAGUACUAGGUUAUAGUUGUAGAAAUUAUUUGAAUUAAUCAAUUUAAUGCUAAAAUUAACUAAUUAAGCUAAAAAAAUGCAUCAAUUUAAUUAAAAUUAACUAAGAGAUGGCAAUUAAACUAAUUAAUUCUAGACUAGUAAGAGAAAUUAACUAUCAAUUAAAAGCAAUUAAACUAAGGAAUGGUAAAUUAACUAAAAUCAGCAAUUAAUUAAGAUUAAAAAUCAAAUAUGGAAGGGUGAUUUCAAAGGUUUGCAAUUCACACUCUAAUUAAUCUGGAUUUUUCUCAAUUUCUAUUAAUUAAUAGGUAUUUUAUUGCUUGAAGGAAUUAAUUCUAAAAUCACUUUAAUUCUCUUUCAAGAUAUCAAAGUUGUGUCUUAACUAAACAAAUUCCUACUUUUGUGGCUCUUGAUUUUAUAAAAAUCUAUUAGGUUCUUUGAUUAAUUGUAAAACCUUCUCAUACCCUUAAUCAAUUUCUUAAAUCUAAUAAUACAAGUUCUAAUCCUAGGUUUUUCACCAUUAAUAUUCAUCUUUUAAUACAUGAUUAAAAUAAUAUUUUG
rnacentral:lncRNA from 1 species